UGGGGGAUAUUGCACAAUGGGCGAAAGCCUGAUGCAGCGACGCCGCGUGGGGGAUGAAGGCCUUCGGGUUGUAAACUUCUUUUGCUCUGAACAAGGCAUGCCUUUGGGGUGUGUUGAGUGUAGGGGUUGAUUAGCGCCGGCUAACUACGUGCCAGCAGCCGCGGUAAUACGUAGGGCGCGAGCGUUGUCCGGAAUUAUUGGGCGUAAAGGGCUUGUAGGUGGCUGGUUGCGUCUGUCGUGAAAGCUCAUGGCUUAACUGUGAGUUUGCGGUGGGUACGGGCUGGCUUGAGUGCAGUAGGGGAGGCUGGAAUUCCUGGUGUAGCGGUGGAAUGCGCAGAUAUCAGGAGGAAUACCGGUGGCGAAGGCGGGUCUCUGGGCUGUUACUGACGCUGAGGAGCGAAAGCGUGGGGAGCGAACAGG
rnacentral:rRNA from 1 species